UACGUAGGUGACUAGCGUUGUCCGGAUUUACUGGGCGUAAAGAGCGCGCAGGCGGUCGUUCAAGUCGAGUGUGAAAGCCCCCGGCUCAACUGGGGAGGGUCACUUGAUACUGAUCGACUCGAAGGCAGGAGAGGGAAGCGGAAUUCCCGGUGUAGUGGUGAAAUGCGUAGAUAUCGGGAGGAACACCAGUGGCGAAGGCGGCUUCCUGGCCUGUUCUUGACGCUGAGGCACGAAAGCUAGGGGAGCAAACGGG
rnacentral:rRNA from 1 species